ACUCAAAUGAAUUGACGGGGACUCGCACAAGGGGUGGAUCAUGUGGCUUAAUUCGUCGACAAGCGAAGAACCUUACCCGGGCUAGAAAUCCAGCUGCACGCCUCCAGAAACGGAGGAAGCCUUCGAGGGUGCUGGACAGGUGAUGCAUGGUCGUCGUCAGUUCGUGGCUUGAGCUGUUCCCUUCAGUGGGGUAACGAACGCAACCCUCGUUGUCUGUUAUAUAUGUCAGGCGAGACUGCCCCCUCACGGGGGAGGAAGGUGAGGAUGACGCCAGAUCAGCAUGUCCCUCUGAUGCCCGGGGCUGCACACGUGAUACAAUGGUUCGUACAGAAGGACGCGAUACCGUAAGGUGGAGCAAAUCCCCAAAACGAACCUCAGUACGGAUUGAGGUCUGCAACGACCUCAUGAAGCCGGAAUCCCUAGUAAUCGUAGGUCAGCCAUACUACGGUGAAUACGUUCUCGAGUCUUGUACACACCGCCCGU
rnacentral:rRNA from 1 species